UCAGUUUCUCUGUACUUGUAUCAGUGGGUAUUUCACGUUGUAAUUACAUUGCUUUACUUUUAAGUAGACAUUUACAGAUAAACUUUAAGUAAUUUCUCGCGUUUCAAAUAUCCUGAUAUAAAAACAAUACUUAAAUACAGUUUUUCUUUUAAGUGAAGACUCAUUUUAAAGCGCGAUUUCCAACAACCGAGACAAUGUCUUUUGUUACCAAAGCAUUACUUGUAAUUAUGGUCUUGAUUUCUUUAACUGUUGGGGAAGUCUAUAAACCACCACCAGGACAUCAUAAGGGUCGAAAAUAAAUAUUACUAACGCUACCCAGAAAUAAUAAUUAUUGGGAUGGUUUACUGGCUGAAUACUUUUAUUUCAACAUGUGUUUCUUUCGUAACAGCAUAAUAUUUUCUUUACUCUAUGUUGGUAACAUUUCGUAUCCAGUCUACAAACGGAUAUGUUCGUGUAUAACCCGAUGGCUCAGGCGUAUCGCAUCCAUUUUUGCUAAUAAAACUGGCAACACCCACAUGGGUAGUUCGAGGUCCGUUACUAUAUCGUACCAAGGGCGUUCCACUAUCACCCUGAAAAGAUUUGCAAACUUCAAACAAAACCAGUGUUGUUGUGGCAAACCUUCCAAAAACCUUCGUUAAAAUUACCACCAGCACACACCAUCGUGUCCAAAAUUUGACUACCAAAGCUGAGUUGGCACUCUUCAUUAGAAAUUGGAAUUAAAUAGACAUAAUGGAGCUCAUCGGUGAUUCCAGCCGUUUCUGAAUAUUUAAAUAGACUUAAUUACUACA